ACCCGCUGAACUUAAGCAUAUCAAUAAGCGGAGGAAAAGAAACUAACAAGGAUUCCCCUAGUAACGGCGAGUGAAGCGGGAAGAGCUCAAAUUUGAAAUCUAACGUCCUCAGGGCGUUCGAGUUGUAAUCUAUAGGAACGUUUUCCGUGCCGGCUCAUGUACAAGUCCCUUGGAACAGGGCGUCAUAGAGGGUGAGAAUCCCGUACUUGACAUGAAUUACCGGUGCUCUGUGAUACGUCUCCAACGAGUCGAGUUGUUUGGGAAUGCAGCUCAAAAUGGGUGGUAAAUUCCAUCUAAAGCUAAAUAUUGGUGUGAGACCGAUAGCGAACAAGUACCGUGAGGGAAAGAUGAAAAGCACUUUGGAAAGAGAGUUAAAAAGUAUGUGAAAUUGUUGAAAGGGAAACGAUUGAAGUCAGUCAUGUCCUUCAGAUUCAGCUGGUUCUGCCGGUGUAUUUCUGUUGGAUGGGGUCAACAUCAGUUUUGGAUGCCGGAUAAAGGCAGGAGGAAGGUAGUACCCUCGGGUAAACUUAUAGCCUCUUGUCGCAUACGGUGACUGGGACUGAGGAACGCAGCUUGCCUUUAUGGCCGGGGUUCGCCCACGUACAAGCUUAGGAUGUUGACAUAAUGGCUUUAAACGACCCGUCUUGAAACACGG
rnacentral:rRNA from 1 species